rnacentral:misc_RNA from 1 species
GUCAAAAUGCAAAGUUCGACUAAAUAAAUCUUCAGUGUUUUCCAAAUCCACAUUAAACAGUUCUCUCUCUGACCAGCCUGCUCAAGAUGGUUCUGGCUCUGAACUUGGUGAGGUAGCUAAUCCUUGUACUGAGGGUAUUCCAUAUGAUUCUUCAAAAAUUAGGGCUGCUGUUGAAGUCUUGCAAUCGCUGACCAAACCACGAGAUUGUGCGUCUACAAAUGGUACCUUAGAGAACUCUUUUGAUGGAAGUGCCACAUGUCCCGAGAAUUUGUGUAGUUCUGGAAAUUCAGUUAAUGA